rnacentral:sRNA from 1 species
UAAGUCUCCGUCAAGCAGACAAAUGCGGAGCAAGCUUGCUUGCAGGAGCAUUUGGAUAUUUGACGGAACAAGAGGUAUGAGACAAAAAGCCAUGCGAGCAUUGCGAGCAGGGCGAUUGUCGAAUACCUGUGAGCGAUGCGGGAGCUUCAAAGAAGCGGAGCAGCGCGUGGACUUA